rnacentral:rRNA from 1 species
GACGAACGCUGGCGGUGUGCUUAACACAUGCAAGUCGAACGGAAAGGCCCUGCUUUUGUGGGGUGCUCGAGUGGCGAACGGGUGAGUAACACGUGAGUAACCUGCCCUUGACUUUGGGAUAACUUCAGGAAACUGGGGCUAAUACCGGAUAGGAGCUCCUGCUGCAUGGUGGGGGUUGGAAAGUUUCGGCGGUUGGGGAUGGACUCGCGGCUUAUCAGCUUGUUGGUGGGGUAGUGGCUUACCAAGGCUUUGACGGGUAGCCGGCCUGAGAGGGUGACCGGCCACAUUGGGACUGAGAUACGGCCCAGACUCCUACGGGAGGCAGCAGUGGGGAAUAUUGCACAAUGGGCGGAAGCCUGAGGCAGCAACGCCGCGUGCGGGAUGACGGCCUUCGGGUUGUAAACCGCUUUCGCCUGUGACGAAGCGUGAGUGACGGUAAUGGGGAAAGAAGCACCGGCUAACUACGG